rnacentral:rRNA from 1 species
AUACGGAGGAUGCGAGCGUUAUCCGGAUUUAUUGGGUUUAAAGGGUGCGUAGGUGGUAAUUUAAGUCAGCGGUGAAAGUUUGUGGCUCAACCAUAAAAUUGCCGUUGAAACUGGGUUACUUGAGUGUGUUUGAGGUAGGCGGAAUGCGUGGUGUAGCGGUGAAAUGCAUAGAUAUCACGCAGAACUCCAAUUGCGAAGGCAGCUUACUAAACCAUAACUGACACUGAAGCACGAAAGCGUGGGUAUCAAACAGGAUUAGAUACCCUGGUAGUCCACGCAGUAAACGAUGAUUACUAGGAGUUUGCGAUACACGGUAAGCUCUACAGCGAAAGCGUUAAGUAAUCCACCUGGGGAGUACGCCGGCAACGGUGAAACUCAAAGGAAUUGACGGGG